CGGGCCGUAGAUUGUGGGUUAUCGGAACUGUUGGUUGGCGGUUCAAAUCCGCCCUCGCGUUCGGCGCGAGUAGCUCAAUCGGAUAGAGCGACAGUCAACAUCCACUCUCGCUCCUUGCCCGCUC
rnacentral:Y_RNA from 1 species